rnacentral:hammerhead_ribozyme from 1 species
AGCCGAAACAGGGGAAAAUCCCCUGUUUGGCGGGAUUGGCCGCCCGCUACUGAUGAGGCAGGCCAGA